rnacentral:rRNA from 1 species
GACGUAGGAUGCGAGCGUUACUCGGAAUUACUGGGCGUAAAGCGUCGGUAGGCGGCCUGGACAGUCUGAGGUCAAAUGGCGGAGCUCAACUCCGUCACCGUCUCGGAUACUCCCAGGCUUGAGCAACGGAGAGGCACCUGGAAUGCCGUGUGUAGGGGUAAAAUCCGUUGAUCCACGGUAGAACGCUCAAAGCGAAGGCAGGGUGCUAGAAGUUCGCUGACGCUGAACGACGAAAGCGUGGGGAGCAAACGGGAUUAGAUACCCUGGUAGU